rfam:Oryza sativa (indica cultivar-group) chromosome 11, whole genome shotgun sequence.
CCCAUGGACGACGAGGAACUGAUGGGCUACGUGCUCGCCGGCCUCGACGACAACUACGAACCGGUUGUCUCCAGUUUGGUAGGCAAAAGUGAGCCGGUUUCAAUCUCUGAAGUCUACUCACAGCUUCUGAGUUUUGAGU